rnacentral:tRNA from 1 species
GGGGAUGUAGCUCAGUUACAGAGCGCUUGCCUUGGAUGCGAGAGGCACUGGGUUCAAUCCUUAGCACCA